rnacentral:rRNA from 1 species
UUCUCUUCGGAGAAGAGCGGCGGACGGGUGAGUAACGCGUGGGUAACCUGCCCUGUACACACGGAUAACAUACCGAAAGGUAUGCUAAUACGAAGAUAAUAUACUUUUAUCGCAUGGUAGAAGUAUCAAAGCUCCGGCGGUACAGGAUGGACCCGCGUCUGAUUAGCUAGUUGGUAAGGUAACGGCUUACCAAGGCGACGAUCAGUAGCCGACCUGAGAGGGUGAUCGGCCACAUUGGAACUGAGACACGGUCCAAACUCCUACGGGAGGCAGCAGUGGGGAAUAUUGCACAAUGGGCGAAAGCCUGAUGCAGCAACGCCGCGUGAGCGAUGAAGGCCUUCGGGUCGUAAAGCUCUGUCCUCAAGGAAGAUAAUGACGGUACUUGAGGAGGAAGCCCCGGCUAACUACGUG